rnacentral:rRNA from 1 species
GGGUUAGGGGCGUGCGCGAGGCGAGGGUUACGAGCACCGUGUGGUCUCGGGUGUGGGCGUGGUUGGGAUCGGUGGUGUGGAGUGGAAGGAGGGGGCGAGGCGGGGUUUGGACCGGCGGUGUGGAGAGGAAGGAGGGAACGAGCUGCGGUAUCCGUGGCGUCCGGGAUGGAGGAAGGACGAGCAGGCCUAUCGGCGGCCGGCGGCGUAGGAAAGAGGAGGAAGGAGGAGGGGCAACCGCGGGGAGCAGGAGCCUGUCCCCCGGAGGACGUACCUGCCGGCCCAGAAGCAGCGAUUAGGGAAGGCGGGCGAGCGGCGCGAGCAGGACACCUUGCACGUUUUCCCAGUUUUAGGAUCGGCGGUUCGGAGGAGCAGUUCGGGCGCGGGGGAGGCGGAACAGAGGAGAUACGGGGGAGGAGAGGGUGCAGCGGUGGGAGCUCGGGCGUGGGGGAGGCGGAGCAGAGGAGGGGCGAGGGAGGAGAGUUUGCGGCGCGGUAACUGCGUGGCAGUCCCUGCGGCAGUUGUGCAGCCCCUAUGCGGCGUUACCUCGAGUCUGUUCUCGUCCCGUCGCCUAACCUAACUCCCGUGGGCUACUGGAACGGCGGCGACAGUGGACCUAAACGAACGGCGGCGCACCUCAGAGGUACCGGCGGCGGAGCUCAGUGGAGGCAGCGGCGGCGCUCAGUCGAGGUGAAAACGGCGGUCCUUAGAGCAGGGGCCGUUCCUUUUAAGGAUCCCUAAACUAACUGCCUCCGUAGCCAUAGACCGUAACAGGUUCUUCGGUAGCCACCCCAACCACUGACACCCUACGAGCGAACUGGGGGACAGGUGUUACUUUUGGCCUCCUUGGAAGUGAAACAUAUCUAGCACUACCUAUACCCCUGUAUAUUCUUGUGGAGGGAAGGCUUUUAGUUGAUCCCGUCUAUUCUUUUGGGUGGACUCUUAGAUAACAUAUGGUAUAAAAAAUCGGAGAAUUGUACAUGUACAUGUACAACAUCAGAUAUAAAACUAUAUCUUAUACAACAAUGUACGUUGACAAACUCAACCACCCGGUAACGACGACGGCCGAUUUUAAUAUUAUAAACAUUGAUUAUAAAAACCAACUGUAUAAUGAUCGCUUAACCUAUAGUAUAGGGAUUUGAUCCUUAAGAAAGUAAUAACCUCCGAAAAUAGACGUAUAUGUUCCAUCGUCUUCUUCGUCCACUCACCGGGGACAAAACAAAGAAAUACUAUCACAGGAGAUGUAUUACCAACUUUGCCACAUAUCGGACUUCGUACACUACAAAGAAAGUCACAUAUAAACACUAAAAUACCGCAAACUACGCGUAUCCCGUCUUGGAGUGUAGUGUAUGUUAUAAUCUCUCCUUACAAAAUUGUCAAUCACAAAGUUUCUAAAUAUGACAAAGUCGAUCGGUUACUUACAAACACCUCGAUGUAUAAACCAUAGUUUUCAUGUAGUAAACCCUUUAACCCAAAAAUCAAUUACACACAGUCCGUAGUUAUCAAAACUUUAUAAUGGUACAACGGCUUAUAUAGUAUGUUAAUAUCCACGUAAAUCAAGGGAUCUUGUAAACAAGAACUGAUGGGUCAUGGGUCAACUCUAUAGUGGUAAUCGCUUUGGUGUAACCUCCAUUAAGAUAAUUCAGCCUUUUCGAUAUACAAGGUCUUAAUAACAAAUUACUUCAUGAGUAAAACGAAAUAAGCAUAUUAUACAGAAGGACAAAACAGUAGUUGAAUUAUAAUAGGUAACUUUCAAGAGGAAAACAUUACGCUCACUGGCUAUCCUGUUUAUGGUAAUACGUAGUUCAUAUCAGCUUCAUCUUGCAACAGGAUCAUAAUCAUCUAAUGUACGAUUGCACGUCUAUUGUACCAAGACUUCAGCUUUUAGUAACGGUGUUACAAUGUCUAAUCUCAAAGGUUUUAUUAUAAUAUGAGGGAGGCAGGCCUUUAUGAACAGCUUUUUUACCUACUUUUACCUACAUAGAUGUUGAUUUAACGCAGGUCUAUGUAGGUAAGGAGGCUGUUCAUAAAAACCUGCCUCCCUCAUCAUUAGUGUAGGUAAAGUAACCUACACUGCACUACAUAGGAUAUACGCCUCGGUACUUUCUUUACAUUGAUACCUUCAACAUCUAUUGUCAUAUGUCAACAAGCUCACGAGAGACCGAUUUGGACUACGGAAAACAUGUAGUUCCGAGACUUAAAAAAUUCCUAGUGUUGAAUGAAAGUUUCAUUGUUAUUAUAAACCUUUUAUAGUCUCCACUGUCUCUUGUUAAAUUAUCCUAUCACCGUUUAUUCCGGGUAAAGGAAUUCCAUAGUCGUGUAUUGUGAAAAGUGAUUAAACCGGUCAAUCGUUACGAGACCAAACACGGUCAGUCCUUAACUCUCGCAGUCAUCAGAAACGUAUUUAUUGGUAGUCUGACCUCCAGUUGUGACUCUCUCCCUGACGUAUGUCAAAACAAGUUCGUAUGGGGAAGUUCAAUAUUAACGUUAUGUGAUACGACCUAUGUUUACUGGAAAGCUAAACUUGAUAAGUAUAACAAAUUAAACUACUGGACCCGUCCUAGGUCCAAAGCCAACGAUCGUUGACAUUACUAGUCUGAGAAAAGAGAAAAACAUCCAUACGACCAGAACUACACCAAAACCUGACUUACAAAGAGUGAACCUCCUUAACGAAAAACGAUUUUAGUUAUAUAAAAAGUCAGGGGUUGCUAAAAUAAGGAGUCGCGGGUUACCUGAAGAUAGUUAUAAAAGAAGGUUUGUUACAUAACUUAAAUGAUACUAAGUAACCUCAAUAAACUGCUUCCCCUCGGAACCGCGUCACCAUUUCGACGACGGAACACUGGUACUCCAGUGCCCAAGUUCAGGACCUUUGUCGGAGAAUGUCUUUACAUCCCUUUCCGACGCAUGAUAUCUGGGUUUCACCAGCCUGGGAAGGGGCUGGGACGCGUUCGCCCUCGAUGUACGUGGCCCGACGGGGUAACCUCAAUAAACUGUCUCUCUUUAUAAGAGACAUAUGACCUAUGUUAAUGAGUACUAUCCAGGAAAAUGAGGGAUCGCUGGUUAUGUGAGUAAAAAUCAAAAUACAUGGCGGUAACUGUAUAUAGAAAAGAAGGUUUGAUACUCUGUAAUACAUUUACAUGUGACCUCUUACAUAAUACAUGUACAUAUAAUAAAGUUUACCCAGACACGCUUGUACCAUCGUUCAUAAAACACGAUAGUCUAAUCUUACACACAUAUGUAGAGUAACAACUGUUGUUACGUGGUAUUAAUUCAAAGGGAAGAAAAUCGAAUAAACAACGAUGGACUCUAUUAUGGUUCAUACUAGAAACCAAACGGUACAUGCUGUGACGCCUCAGUAAAAUAAUUCGACCGUAAUCAUUAAAACGUAAAAUGUAUCAAGUACACGUUCAAUUUACAUACAGGUUAUUAAUGAUUAUGAUUCAAAUAUUACAACCGUGUUAGACAAUAACGGCAAUAGAAGAACCCUCAUGAACUCUUCCGCACCGACCCUUACACCCCUGUGCGGUACCGUCUCCGCGUACCAGCCGUCCUCCUCAGUCCCUCCGGACUUCCACCUGUACACCUACAAUAGCACCGUAACUGUGUAAAGCGAGGUGGCUAUGGUCCCUAAGCAACCUUCGGUGUGCCGCGUGGGCUCCUCUCCUCCUCUUACGAGACUUCUCUCCUUUACUAUUUAAAAUAACAAAACAAAAUUCUCGUUCCCUAAACUAUACAUCAGGGGACCGAAUAAACAUAAGAUGAUACACAUACCGGUUUCUUUAGUACUAAAAUAUGUGUGUAUAUAAAAAUUUGUUUUGGGAUACAUACAAAACGAGUUUGUCACAGUAGCCUUUCACGAGUAUAAAAGUUACGC